rnacentral:rRNA from 1 species
GUCUUGAGGCCGGAAGACGUCGAGGGUACUCUGGGGGUAGCGGUGAAAUGCUGUAAUCCUCGGGGGACCACCAGUGGCGAAGGCGUCGACGAGAACGGACCUGACGGUGAGGGGCGAAGGCUAGGGGAGCGAACGGGAUUAGAUACCCCGGUAGUCCUAGCUGUAAAGUAUGCGGGCCAGGUGUCUGGUGUUCCUCGAGAGCACCAUGUGCCGGAGGGAAGCCGUUAAGCCCGCCGCCUGGGAAGUACGGCCGCAAGGCUGAAACUUAAAGAAAUUGGCGGGGGAGCACUACAAGGGGUGGGACCUGCGGUUCAAUCGGAUUCAACGCCGAAAAACUCACCAGGGGCGACAGUUGUUUGAAGGCCAGGUUGACGACCUUGCCAGACUAUCUGAGAGGUGGUGCAUGGCCAUCGUCAGCUCAUACCGUGAGGCGUCCUGUCAAGUCAGGCAACGAGCGAGAUCCUCGCCCUUAGUUGCUAACAGUGGAAAGCUGAGCACACUAGGGGGACCGCUGGCGCUAAGUCAGAGGAAGGAGAGGGCGACGGUAGGUCCGUAUGCCCCGAAUCCCCUGGGCUACACGCGGGUCACAAUGCGUAGGACAAUGGGUUGCAACUCCGUAAGGGGAAGCCAAUCCCCUAAACCUACGCUCGGUUCGGAUCGAGGGCUGUAACUCGCCCUCGUGAAGCUGGAAUCCCUAGUAAUCGCGUGCCAACACCGCGCGGUG